rnacentral:misc_RNA from 1 species
GCCGAUUAACGUAUUAACGUGUUGGUAUUGUGCGAGACAGAACACACUUGCAAAAUGUUGAUGUUGUUAUGCCUGAUAGCUACUGCCCUACCUUUAACUCUUGUGGAAGGCGCGGAAAAGUAUUGCGUGGCGGCCUUGAAAAGACCUGGGAUAGAUUGUUUCUACGGUUCAACUGUACUCGGAUUCGUGCAAAUGCUUAUCACCUAUAAUCUCACUCCAUCUUCUACCGAAAUUUGUUGUCAAGCCCGAGCCUGCUCGUACGGAGGAUGUUUGUUUGUGGACAUCGGGUGUCAUAACCAUGGCGUAUCGAAACAAUUGAUUUGGGAGUUACCAAAUAAAGAGCCUAGCAUGAGCUGUUACACGUCCACUGGUAUGGGCUGGGGCCGUUCCUAUAAAUAUACAGCGGCAGUAACAAGGAGAACAUAUUAAUCUUAUCCCAGGAAAAUUCCAAAAUAAUUUAUUACCUUUUCUUGUUUAUUAUCAAAAUAUCUUUAAGUUUAAAAAUGCUGCGAAAUUAUUAUUCUAAGAACCAAUUUGUAAUUCAUUUUUUGAUGCAAAUGUUAAUAAAAAUGUAUUAAGAGCAAAUAUAAAAUUAAUUAAAAUCUGGCUUUUUAAUAUUGUGUUGAAUGUGAAACAUUCCUCACAUUUGUCCUAAAAUUUACAUAAAGAAAAGUCUAA